ACUCAAAUGAAUUGACGGGGGCCCGCACAAGCGGUGGAGCAUGUUGUUUAAUACGUCACUAACCGUAGAACCUCACCAAGGCUUGACAUCCGUCGACCGCCUGUGAAAGCAGGUUUUCCUCGCAAGAGGACGGCGAGACAGGUGUUGCAUGGCUGUCGUCAGCUCGUGUCGUGAGAUGUUGGGUUAAGUCCCGCAACGAGCGCAACCCUCACGCGAUGUUGCCAGCGAGUAAUGUCGGGAACUCUUCGCGAACUGCCUGGGUAACCGGGAGGAAGGUGGGGAUGACGUCAAGUCAGCAUGGCCCUUACGCCUUGGGCUACAAACAUGCUACAAUGGACGGUAAACAAAGGGAUCCGAGACCGCGAGGUGGAGGCAAUCCCAAAAAUCCGUUCUCAGUUCAGAUCGUAGGCUGCAACUCGCCUGCGUGAAGUCGGAAUCGCUAGUAACCGCAGAUCAGCUAAGCUGCGGUGAAUACGUUCCCGGGCCUUGUACACACCGCCCGU
rnacentral:rRNA from 1 species